GAUGAACGCUAGCGGGAGGCCUAACACAUGCAAGCCGAGCGGUAUUGUUUCUUCGGAAAUGAGAGAGCGGCGUACGGGUGCGUAACACGUGUGCAACCUGCCUUUAUCUGGGGGAUAGCCUUUCGAAAGGAAGAUUAAUACUCCAUAAUAUAUUGAACGGCAUCGUUUAAUAUUGAAAGCUCCGGCGGAUAGAGAUGGGCACGCGCAAGAUUAGCUAGUUGGUGAGGUAACGGCUCACCAAGGCGAUGAUCUUUAGGGGGCCUGAGAGGGUGCUCCCCCACACUGGUACUGAGACACGGACCAGACUCCUACGGGAGGCAGCAGUGAGGAAUAUUGGUCAAUGGGUGCAAGCCUGAACCAGCCAUCCCGCGUGAAGGACGACUGCCCUAUGGGUUGUAAACUUCUUUUGUAUAGGGAUAAACCUACCCUCGUGAGGGUAGCUGAAGGUACUAUACGAAUAAGCAUCGGCUAAUUCCGUGCCAGCAGCCGCCGUAAUAC
rnacentral:rRNA from 1 species